UACGGGGGGGGCAAGCGUUGUUCGGAAUUACUGGGCGUAAAGGGCGCGUAGGCGGUUUGUUAAGUUGGAUGUGAAAACUGUGGGCUCAACCCACAGCCUGCAUCCAAUACUGACAGGCUAGAGUUCUGGAGGGGAUAGCGGAAUUCCUGGUGUAGCGGUGAAAUGCGUAGAUAUCAGGAGGAACACCGGUGGCGAAGGCGGCUAUCUGGACAGAGUCUGACGCUGAGGCGCGAAAGCUGGGGGAGCAAACGGG
rnacentral:rRNA from 1 species